UGGGGAAUAUUGGACAAUGGGCGCAAGCCUGAUCCAGCCAUGCCGCGUGAGUGAUGAAGGUCUUAGGAUUGUAAAGCUCUUUCACCGGUGAAGAUAAUGACGGUAACCGGAGAAGAAGCCCCGGCUAACUUCGUGCCAGCAGCCGCGGUAAUACGAAGGGGGCUAGCGUUGUUCGGAUUUACUGGGCGUAAAGCGCACGUAGGCGGACUAUUAAGUCAGGGGUGAAAUCCCGGGGCUCAACCCCGGAACUGCCUUUGAUACUGGUAGUCUUGAGUUCGAGAGAGGUGAGUGGAAUUCCGAGUGUAGAGGUGAAAUUCGUAGAUAUUCGGAGGAACACCAGUGGCGAAGGCGGCUCACUGGCUCGAUACUGACGCUGAGGUGCGAAAGCGUGGGGAGCAAACAG
rnacentral:rRNA from 1 species